ACUAGUCCAAUCUAAUUCUGCAUCAUGGUUUAUUUAUGUAGUCUCGCUUUUGGACCAGAUCAAACUCCAAAUCUCUUAUUAUCCUUGUGCUAGUGACCACUUAACUGUCCUAUGCACACGAGAAACGUAAAAGAACACUU
rnacentral:snoRNA from 15 species